rnacentral:rRNA from 1 species
GGGAGGCAGCAGUGGGGAAUCUUGCGCAAUGGGCGAAAGCCUGACGCAGCAACGCCGCGUGGAGGAUGAAGGCCCUUGGGUUGUAAACUCCUGUCGGUUGGGAAGAAAUCGCGCGGUGCUCAUACCGCCGCGCGUUGACUGUACCAGCAAAGGAAGCCCCGGCUAACUCUGUGCCAGCAGCCGCGGUAAUACAGAGGGGGCCAGCGUUAUUCGGAAUUAUUGGGCGUAAAGGGCGCGUAGGCGGCCCCGCGUGUCUUCCGUGAAAUCCCUCGGCUCAACUGAGGACGUGCGGAAGAAACUGCGGGGCUCGAGUCCGGGAGAGGGGGGUGGAAUUCCCAGUGUAGCGGUGAAAUGCGUAGAUAUUGGGAGGAACACCGGUGGCGAAGGCGGCCCCCUGGACCGGUACUGACGCUGAGGCGCGAAAGCGUGGGGAGCAAACGGGAUUAGAUACCCCGGUAGG